rnacentral:rRNA from 1 species
CUAAGGUAGCGAAAUUCCUUGUCGGGUAAGUUCCGACCUGCACGAAUGGCGUAAUGAUGGCCAGGCUGUCUCCACCCGAGACUCAGUGAAAUUGAACUCGCUGUGAAGAUGCAGUGUACCCGCGGCAAGACGGAAAGACCCCGUGAACCUUUACUAUAGCUUGACACUGAACAUUGAGCCUUGAUGUGUAGGAUAGGUGGGAGGCUUUGAAGUGUGGACGCCAGUCUGCAUGGAGCCGACCUUGAAAUACCACCCUUUAAUGUUUGAUGUUCUAACGUGGACCCGUAAUCCGGGUUGCGGACAGUGUCUGGUGGGUAGUUUGACUGGGGCGGUCUCCUCCUAAAGAGUAACGGAGGAGCACGAAGGUUGGCUAAUCCUGGUCGGACAUCAGGAGGUUAGUGCAAUGGCAUAAGCCAGCUUGACUGCGAGCGUGACGGCGCGAGCAGGUGCGAAAGCAGGUCAUAGUGAUCCGGUGGUUCUGAAUGGAAGGGCCAUCGCUCAACGGAUAAAAGGUACUCCGGGGAUAACAGGCUGAUACCGCCCAAGAGUUCAUAUCGACGGCGGUGUUUGGCACCUCGAUGUCGGCUCAUCACAUCCUGGGGCUGAAGUAGGUCCCAAGGGUAUGGCUGUUCGCCAUUUAAAGUGGUACGCGAGCUGGGUUUAGAACGUCGUGAGACAGUUCGGUCCCUAUCUGCCGUGGGCGCUGGAGAACUGAGGGGGGCUGCUCCUAGUACGAGAGGACCGGAGUGGACGCAUCACUGGUGUUCGGGUUGUCAUGCCAAUGGCACUGCCCGGUAGCUAAAUGCGGAAGAGAUAAGUGCUGAAAGCAUCUAAGCACGAAACUUGCCCCGAGAUGAGUUCUCCCUGAGACUUAGAGUCUCCUGAAGGAACGUUGAAGACGACGACGUUGAUAGGCCGGGUGUGUAAGCGCAGCGAUGCGUUGAGCUAACCGGUACUAAUGAACCGUGAGGCUUAACCUU